rnacentral:rRNA from 1 species
ACACUCCUACGGGAGGCAGCAGUGGGGAAUUUUGGACAAUGGGCGAAAGCCUGAUCCAGCAAUGCCGCGUGAGUGAAGAAGGCCUUCGGGUUGUAAAGCUCUUUUGUCAGGGAAGAAACGGUGAAAGCUAAUAUCUUUUGCUAAUGACGGUACCUGAAGAAUAAGCACCGGCUAACUACGUGCCAGCAGCCGCGGUAAUACGUAGGGUGCAAGCGUUAAUCGGAAUUACUGGGCGUAAAGCGUGCGCAGGCGGUUUUGUAAGUCUGAUGUGAAAUCCCCGGGCUCAACCUGGGAAUUGCAUUGGAGACUGCAAGGCUAGAAUCUGGCAGAGGGGGGUAGAAUUCCACGUGUAGCAGUGAAAGGCGUAGAUAUGUGGAGGAACACCGAUGGCGAAGGCAGCCCCCUGGGUCAAGAUUGACGCUCAUGCACGAAAGCGUGGGGAGCAAACAGGAUUAGAUACCCGAGUAGUCCCA